CAGCUGUGGGGCCUCAGGAGGCAGGGACUCAGGGAUGACCUCCACCAUGGCCUGGGCCCCUCUCCUCCUCACCCUCCUGGCUCACUGCACAGGUGA
rnacentral:pre_miRNA from 1 species